CCCAUAUUCAGCAGCCUCUCCCUAAAUACAAAAAUCUUUGUAUGAAGAGUUUAGUCGAGUUAUAGUCUUUUCCCGCUUGAAUUUCGUGCCCAUCGCCUACGCUACAAACAAUAUCAGUAACAAUUUCCACCAAAGAUGAGCCAGACAUCAGUGGGCGUUGACUUCACCCUGGAGACAGUUCAAUACAAGUUUGCUACCAUCAUCGGGGAGCUAUGUGGGAAGCCAUCUGUUCUCUCACAGUUUGCAGUCUGGUUAGACCUGAGAUUGUCUGAAUACAAGUUAAAAGGAUCUAUAUCAUUAGACUGCUCUGGUUUAAAGCCUGAUCCUGACUGGCUGCAGGGUCUGAAGGACACGGCCCCUCCACGGACACAUCACCCCACUGACAGACCCACGGGGGGACAACAUGGUCACUCUAGACUCAGCCGAGAGGCACAGCAGAGUGAGCGUACCACCAGUUGUGGCGCAGAUAAUGCGGAGUCCCCAGAUAUCGUUGUCAUCAAAGAAGAACAAAAUGACUCUAACGACCAGGAAGUUUAUCCCGUAGGUUUACACGAAAACAACACUUCAACAAGUUCAGCAGCAGUGGGUCGAGUGGAGCGCAAGCGCUUUUCUGACACUAAUGAUUUGUCUCCAGCAAAAUAUCAGCGUUUUUCAUCCCCAUUACCCCAGGCAUCACAUGCCAGUUUUUCCCAGGAACUCUCUCUCUCAUCCCAUGACCAGUCCCUUUCCCGUAUCACAGAAACCAGUGUUGAUAGUGAAUUAGAACAGUUUAUACAAGACAACAGCAGUACUUAUCCAAGGGGACACAACUCUACAGCUUAUGCAGACCAAGGGGGGAAUAACUCUGCUGAGUUUUUUUUCAGCCAGUGUUUUACAGGACAGUUCAGAGUCUGCUCAUUCGACAGAUCUUAAGUCAACAACAAUAGAAGAAACUAGGGGAGCAGCGAGUUCUUCAGAUGCAGACCUUGGCGUGUUCGGGGCGGGAUGGCGGAAUCGUUGUGGGAGGGUCCCAGGGGUUACAGAAGUGGAUUCACAGGAAUAUCUGGACACCCAGACGGUUAUUUUGGACCAGUUCCAGAAACUUUGGAAAUCGGCAGGCCUAAAGUCAUCAAUUCUACCGUUCGAAACGCAAGUGCUUCCAAGGGACUGUUUCAGCGCUGGUUGUGGUCUAGUGAGCAUAACGAUCACCGACGCAUUGAGGAGAUUCCACCGGCUGUUCUGGACAAGUAUCUGGCUGAAUUUUUCUUCAAGGCCAAAAAACGCAACGGCCAGGAUUACGACGCGAGCAGCUUAAGGAGAAUUCGAGCCGGACUACAGUUUUACUUGCGUGAAGCUGGCUACCAGUGUUCCAUUAUACGCUCUCCAGCUUUUGCGAAUAGUGCAGAGGCGAUAAAACUUCGCUGUCAGGAACUUUGUAGUUCGAGCAUGCCCACUACAUCCCCAUCGCACACUGCUGCCCAUAACACGAUGCAAAAUUCGUCUUUCGGAUAAAAUUUGUCUUGAGAUGAUACUUCGAUUCCUUCCAUUUUUGGAUCCACAGUGCAUGGAGGUUUAUGGAUGUCAGUUAUCGAGGAGUAGCAUGAUGUACAUGUACUGCGUGUCAUAUGCACGCCACAGAACACAGAAGAUAUUUGAAUCCUGCCAAUUGUUCAGCGAAACUUAGGCCUAUGCUGGAACCAAGCGAAAUGGCCAUUCCAUACGGGUCGCGAUAGCGGUGUGACGAGAACUCCAGGUCUCUUGCCAAGACGGUAUCGGAGUGGAGCCAACAUUCUCCAAGGCUGGCUGCGGGGUUUCAACCCGCCAGACCUGAGACCUAUACAUUCCAUACCCCCAAAAGAGCUUGACCUGUUGCUGGAACAUUUCUUCUCUACCAUCAUGUUACCUGAUGGUCGUCAAUACAAAUCUGGCACACUAAAAUCGAUACGAUAUGGCAUAGACCGCUAUCUGGAAUCCAAAGGUUAUGCCUGUUCUAUCCGAGAUCCAAAGUUCUUUCGGAAGAGUUACGCAGCUUACUUCUCGAGAAGGUCCAUGCUGGAUUCCACUGGCAAUUCGUAAAUGUUUUAAACGGUGCUGUACAUAGUUAUUUGGGAAGGGUAAGACAGCACAUAUCAUCAAAAGGUUCGUAGUGGAUGGCCGAGAUUUCUUGAAUUGUUUAUCCCACCGGUUGCUCAGUUGAGAUUAAGAGGCAUAUGGUAUAGGCACUAGUGCUAAAGGUACGCAUUGUCACCUCGUUUAAGUGUAGGAUUUUUUUCCUGUAAAAUAAAUCUCAUUUAUAAUUUUGUUUUGUAUGACAUUAAAGCUUGUGUUGUGUUUCCCCCAUAUAUCAUAAUAUUUGCACCAACAUGUGAACAACCUUUACAUCUACAAUUACAACCAACUAACCAACCAGUGUAAACGAAUGAUCAUUAUGCGAUCAGUUGAUGAGCGGUGGCAUUAUUUUUCAAAUUCACUGCUCUGUAAUAAAGGCUGUCUAAUGAAAUCCGUCAGCAUUA